AGAGUUUGAUCAUGGCUCAGAACGAACGCUGGCGGCGUGGAUUAGGCAUGCAAGUCGAACGCGAAAGAGGGGGCAACCCCUCAAGUAGAGUGGCGAACGGGUGAGUAACGCGUGAAGAACCUGCCUUCAACAGGGGGAUAACACUCCCAACGGGGUGCUAAUACCGCAUGAGACCACGGAGCUGCAUGGCUCUGAGGUCAAAGGUGGCCUCUAUUUAUAAGCUACCGGUUGAAGAUGGCUUCGCGUCCCAUUAGCUAGUUGGCGGUGUAAAAGACCACCAAGGCGACGAUGGGUAGCUGGUCUGAGAGGAUGGUCAGCCACACUGGGACUGAGAUACGGCCCAGACUCCUACGGGAGGCAGCAGUCGAGAGGCUUUGGCAAUGGGGGAAACCCUGACCAAGCGACGCCGCGUGGAGGAUGAAGGCCUUUGGGUUGUAAACUCCUUUUGUUGGGGAAGAAGUGCGAUCAGGUGAACAAUCUGGUCGUUUGACGGUACCCGACGAAUAAGCUCCGGCUAACUCCGUGCCAGCAGCCGCGGUAACACGGGGGGAGCAAGCGUUGUUCGGAAUCACUGGGCGUAAAGGGCGUGUAGGCGGUUAGGUAAGUGGGACGUGAAAUGCCCCGGCUCACCCGGGGACCUGCAUCCCAAACUGCCCGACUUGAGUAUGGGAGAGGAUGAGGGAAUUCCUGGUGUAGCGGUGAAAUGCGUAGAUAUCAGGAGGAACACCGGUGGCGAAGGCGCUCAUCUGGCCCAAUACUGACGCUGAGGCGCGAAAGCUAGGGGAGCAAACGGGAUUAGAUACCCCAGUAGUCC
rnacentral:rRNA from 1 species